CCUACGGGUGGCAGCAGUGGGGAAUAUUGGGCAAUGGGCGCAAGCCUGACCCAGCAACGCCGCGUGAAGGAAGAAGGCUUUCGGGUUGUAAACUUCUUUUGACAGGGAAGAGCAGAAGACGGUACCUGUCGAUUAAGCCAUGGCUUACUAGGUGCCAGCAGCCGCGGUAAUACGUAGGUGGCAAGCGGUGUCCGGAAUUACUGGGUGUAAAGGGCGUGUAGCGGGGCUGACAAGUCAGAGGUGAAAUCCGGGGGCUCAACCACCGAACUGCAUUUGACACUGGUGGUCUAGAGUGUCGGAGAGGCAGGCGGAAUGCCUGGUGUAGCGGUGAAAUGCGUAGAUAUAAGGAAGAACACCAAUGGCGAAGGCAGCUUACUGGGCGACAACUGACGGUGAGGCACGAAAGCGUGGGGAGCAAACAGGAUUAGAUACCCUGGUAGUC
rnacentral:rRNA from 1 species